rnacentral:rRNA from 1 species
AGUGAACGCUGGCGGCAUGCCUUACACAUGCAAAUCGAACGGUAACGGGCCUUCGGGUGCCGACGAGUGGCGAACGGGUGAGUAAUACAUCGGAACGUGCCCGAUCGUGGGGGAUAACGAGGCGAAAGCUUUGCUAAUACCGCAUACGAUCUACGGAUGAAAGCAGGGGACCGCAAGGCCUUGCGCGGACGGAGCGGCCGAUGGCAGAUUAGGUAGUUGGUGGGAUAAAAGCUUACCAAGCCGACGAUCUGUAGCUGGUCUGAGAGGAUGAUCAGCCACACUGGGACUGAGACACGGCCCAGACUCCUACGGGAGGCAGCAGUGGGGAAUUUUGGACAAUGGGCGCAAGCCUGAUCCAGCCAUGCCGCGUGCAGGAUGAAGGCCUUCGGGUUGUAAACUGAUUUUGUACGGAACGAAAAGCCUUCUUUUAAUACAGGAGGGUCAUGACGGUACCGUAAGAAUAAGCACCGGCUAACUACGUG